rnacentral:piRNA from 1 species
UGAAAAGCAAGCUACACUUUGCAAUAGCCAC